GUCAACAUUAUUUAUUGAUUGACUGCAGGCCUCAUUAUAUUCCAUUGGAUGGCUUUACAAAUGUCACCAUCAUGAACAUCUCACAUUAGUUCUUAUACCAUAAGGGAAAUGACCUGACAAAAAUGUGGAAUCCCAAAAGGUGCCUCAGCCAUCAAUGGGUGAAGAAAGAAAUCUUUCCUCCCCUAUAGUUUCUGGUACCCAUUGAAGGACAGCUGAGACACCCGACUUACUCUGGAGCUAGCAGAUGAAACCCUGGGACAACUGACAAAAGCCAGCAAAAGAUAAGGAUUCUUAUCAAGGAAGAAGUUGUACUCUGAAGUUUCCUUAUCUGCCUAAAAUCUGGACACACCAAAGAAGAAAACAAUCACCCCUGAUCCCUUCCCUGAGUUUUCAUUAACUCAACUCAUAUUGCAGGAAGAAAGACUGAAGUCCUUCAACGCACCUGAGAAGACUUUUGUCACAAACCAUUGUCUGCUUGGUGGGCUCAACAGACUUUGUCCCGGGCCAUUGUAUGUUUUUCAAGCUCAUUGAAUCCUCUUAAAAAUCAUUUACUAGCCCCCUAAAAUCACCCACAUUUCCCCAUCUCCCUUUCUUUUAAGAAGAAGGGUACAUAACCAUCUGUACCUUCUUGUGUGGUGUGGUAAUCACUCUGUGAUUUCUUCCAUGCAUGUUAGUAAAUGUGCAUGCCUUUUCUUCUACUAACCUGCCUUUUGUUAGUUGAGUUUCAGCAAACCUUCAGAGGUUAAAGGGGAAGUUUUCCCUUGGUCUCUACAGCUUUGGCAUCAUGAACAGGAUAACCAGUCACUCUGCUCUUCUGGAAGCUGCAGUCAAGGAAACUCAGGAUGUGACAAACUGGCAGAAGGGAAAUAAAUUCUUACCAGCUGGACUCUCAGCCUCUAUUUCUGCAGAAUCCACUGUCUUUGGCGUAGUUUUGGAUUUUGUGAGGUCUGCUUUGCACCUCUUUGGAGAUGACCUGUGUGUCCUUGGUUAAGUCAUAAUUUUGGUUAAGCUCUAUUCAUUCUGGUGAGUUACUUGGAGGGUACUUUUGGUUAAAAACAAAAACAAAAAAAGCUCAAAAGCCAAAAAUAUUGUCGAUUUGUCCUGGCUAAGAUUUGAUAAUAAGAGAUUUGAGGGAAGUUUUCUUUUUUUAAAGAGCUCUGUGGUCAGUAAGCGACUUAUUAAAAGCUGAUAUUCAAGAGUAUUUCUUUUUUAAAAUAACUCUCUGCUUUUUCUAUUUUGUAUUCUGUUUAUGGGAAGUUUUUUCAGUGAAUCAAAACCUCUUUUAAAAAGUUAUAUGCUUGCUGCUUCCAUUUACUUCCUUUCUGUGGGUAUGAUUUUUGCUAAAGAAAAAAUAAAACUUCAUUGACCUUUUACAAAGCUUAAAAAUCUCCCCAAAUUGCCUCUUAUGAGAAAAUUUCUCCCAUUUACUUUACUCCUCCUCCUGCAGUGCUUAUCUUUGAUAACACAUGAAAGAAUCUGGAAGGGACUUGUAAUGAUCCUGAGACCUCUUGAGGAACACAGAAGAAGGCACCACAAUCCUCAUUUUGGGGUCUUCUGUCUUCCUUGUGCAGUCUCAAGAGCAUGAACAGGUUACUCUUAGGUCUAAAGCUCUGCUGUCUUUUACACGGAACUCUUUUAUAUCUUUGGCUUUUAGAAACACACAUGUGCACCUGUGUAUGUCAUAUGUUGUGUCUGCAUGUACAUAUAUGUUUGUACAUGUGUUUGUAUAUUGGCUACGUGGUAACACACUAACAUAAAUAAAUGAGUACUCAUAAAUUAACUAGCCCGCUUUUCAAGUUCAUGUGGCUUUAGUAGUUUUUGGUAAAUAAAGCUAAUUUUAAAAUUGUUGGCAAAAUAGAAAUGUCUUCAGAGUUUUAGAUAUUUUUGUCUGGGUCUACUCAUCAGACUAAUUUAUACUAUUUAUGAUAGAUGUUUUCAGGUCACAAAGCUGUUGCUUCUGUGAUAUUUUUGUGCUUGUUUGAUCUGUCUAUGAGUUUAUAUUUUUGGUUUUGAGGCUUUAAAUUCUAAGGUCUAGACAAUUGGCCAUGGUCAGGCACAGGGACACAUGUGUGUCCACAGUGCCUAUGCCUCAUCCUCCCUGGCCCAUCUAUGCUUCCUGGCCAUGCUGGGAGGGGUCAGAUCCUCCAGGCAUUGUCUUCACAGGUCUGUCUUUUGUCCUGGGCUCUGCAUCUGAUACAUACCAAUUAAAAUUGCUUUCUUUCUAUAUUUCUUAUUGUAAGUUAGGUUUACUAUGUAAUUUAAACAAGUAGAUAUAAGAGAAACACUUCUGUAUGCAAAGUAUAUAAAGAAAAUAGGAUGUGUUUUUGGUAAGGAAGGUUAUAAAGAAGGUGUGAGAAUAUGACUUUUGUUAAAGAAAAAGUAGUUUUGUUUAGUUUAAAGAUUUUUAAAUGUUGUUUUAAAUUGAAGAAAUAAAAAAUGAGAAUUGAUAAAACUAAAUGGAAAAAGAAUGUUGGGAAAAGAAAGAAUAGGAAAAAAUUUAAGAGGUUAUAAAAGGUUUAUCACAAUCUUAUGUGGCCAAAGCUGAAUGAGAUUAGAUAAAUCUAUUUAUAAGGUUUUAUUAAAAUUAGGUUUCAUAUUAAUAAUACAUUGAUACAAGGGUAAAGUUGAGAGGGAGGUAAAGAGAGAGGAAGAAAGUCUCAUAUUGUCUUUAUUAGGGCUUUUGACUAUUUGGAAAACUGAGUCUCCUUUCUCUCUAAGAGUAAAGGUUUUUGCUUUUUGAAAUUUUUGAAUUAUUACUUUGGCUAAAUUAAUUAAUCUUUUAUAGUGACCUGUGAUCCUAUUUUGAUUGAGUGUUUUAAGCGUCCCUUAUUUUGAUAUUAAGUGUUUUAAACCUUUGAUAUUUGACAAACUUCCCAAAAUCAAAUAACAAAUUUUAAAUCUAUCUUUUUGACCUUAAACAGAUUUUUGGAUGUUAGGACCCUUGGAAGUCCAAAUGAGAACCCUGAAAGUCUAAGGGAGACAUAUUAGGCUUCUUUCAUAUGUUAAAAUUAUACUGUCAUUAUUGUCAAAUAAGAAAUGGUGUUUAUUUGUAUGGAUGUUAUUAAUAUGUGUUCCAAAAUUGUAUGGAAUUCCUAGAAAUCUGAUAUGUCUUGGUAUAUUAAGUAAAUUGCCUUAUCCUGAUGUUUUUUCUUCUAAAAGCUCUUUGCGAAUUCUAACGUGUUUUACCUUCAAGAAAAUUCAUGGAAAGAUCCAUGAGAAGUACUCUUAAAUACAGGUUUCAAAUAACACUGGAUCAUAUAAUUGGGCUAAAUAAAAACUUCCAGAACUCUAAUAAAAUAAGCCUAAUUGAUUCAUGAAGAUUGCUAACUCAACAUUAAGAAGAACAAGAAUUAAUUACACAGGACUGAACUGAUGGCAGUCAUAAAUGAUUUUUAAUGACUUUUUGUUUGAAACAUUGCGGAUUCUUUUUAUGUUUUCUUUUCCAGAGUCAAGAUUUUUUUUUCUUUUGAGUUAUGUGUAGCUUUCAGCAAUUGGGUAAAGUAUACUUUUGUGAGCAAAAUUGAAACAUUUACCUUUCCCUCUACCUGAUUUCUCCAGAAUUUGGAAACUGUUUAUGAGUAUUCUUAUCUUAUGGCAAUAUAAUUAUUUGCAUAAGUUAGAUAAGAAUAUGUUUUAUUUUGCAACAGGACACAAUCAGAAAUGCUGCUUAUUUUAUCAAGGUUUUGACUGGAAUGACAUAUUUUCAGAUAUGUCCAGACUGCUUUGAAGAAUUGAGGUUGACUUUAUUGAACUGAUGAAAAGCCCUUUGGAAAGGCUGACCUGGUACUUUAUCUACAUGGUUCCUUUUCAAUGUUUCUGACCUUGUGGUAAGUAAAGAAUGUCACUUUCUGACAGGUCCAGAAGCCUCAAGAUAUUUUGGGACUGGAAGAAGAGAGAAAUUACCCAAUUCAUUCAGAUAUUACAGACACAGUCUGAUGGCAAAUCCUUGGCUUGGCUUCCUAUCCUCAACAGACUUCAAAAGUCUAAUCUGAGAUUCAUUAUGAAAGAGUUCAGAAAAGCCAAUUUAAAUAGAAUCGAUAUGGCCAAUCACUACUAUUGUUGCACUUUAUGCAAAUAAUUAAGCCAAAUAUCAUAAAACUAAAACUUAUUUUGCAAAUAAAUUGGCCUUUGGUAAAAAUAAGAGACUGGAAAGAGAAAAAAUAUGUGUUGGAAAAAAAACCUAUGACAUACCUGUUAUUAAAUUUUAGCCAGUUUAUAGUUUUUUUGUUUUGUUUUGUUUUGCUUCUUUUCUGUUUUUCUGUUUUGGGUUUUGAUGAAAUGGUCUUGCUUUGUCACCCUGGAGGAUCAUAGUUCACUGCAGUCUCCACUUUCUGGUCUCAAACUAUCCUCCCUCAGCCGUCAGCUUACCAAGGAGCUGGGACUAUAGGCAGGUGCCACCAGGCCUGGUUAAUUUAGAAGAACUUUCUCUUUCUUUCUUGCUCUCUUUUCUCUUCUUUUCUUUCUUCUUUCUUUCUUUCUUUCUUUCUUGCUUUCUUGCUUUCUUGCUUUCUUUCCUUUCUUCUUUUUUUCUCUCUCUCUUUCUUUCUUUCUUAACUGCUUUCUUCUUUCUCUUUUUCUUCCUUUUUUUUGUAGAAACAGAGUCUUCCUACGUUUCUCAGGCUGGUGUUCAUUGUCUUCAAGUUUUUAUCACUUUCCUACAAUUUGAACUGAAUCUUGAAUUCUUUCUUGGCUAUUAGUCUCCAAACAUUUCCAAAUUUUUCUUCCAUUUUUCUGACUUAGACUCAGUGAAACUGUUGCUACUUUUCUUUCUGAGGCUCUGCAAACUGAAGCUCAUGUAUAAACAACCUCGUGACACACAAACUACAAAUGAGAACAAUUCAUCAGCUUGCCACUGCCUACUUCCACUUUAACUGAAGAUGCUUUGAGUCUGACUGUCUUUCAGACUAUAAGGAAACUGCUUAUAGACUAUUCCAGACAUUAACCUUUGUUUUUCUUCUGAGAGCUUGUCUGCACCACCAUCUUCUGAAAUGAGACACAACAGUUUAAAUGGACUGGCCUGUUUCUAGAAAUGGGAGACUGGCUUAGUGGGAUCCUUUGCCAUUCAGCUAUAGGAUGGACUUUUUCUCCACAGGUGCUAACUCAGAUUUUAGUGUGUAAACGUCUAGGGAAGUUUCAGACAGAAACUUCAAAAAUGGAUACCCCAAAAUAUGGUGCUUUGACGUGCUGAACUGAAGAAGAUGCCUCAAGGUCUCUCUGACCUCCCCCUCUGUGUCUCUGAAUCCCCUGUCUUUUCAAAGCCCAUGAUGAAAUUUUUCUCUGACGUUCUCUUAUCUGCCUAAAGUCUGGACCUGCCAAAGAAGGAAACAAUUACCGCUGGUCCCUUCCCUGAGUUUUCAUUAAUGAAACACACGUUGAAAGAAGAAAGACUGAAGUCUGUCAACACACCUGGACAGACUUUUGUCACAAAUUAUUGUUUGCUUGAUGGGCUCAACAGACUUUGUCCCAGGCCAUUGUUUGUUUGUUCUUCAAGCCCAUUGAAUCUCCCUAAGAGUCACUUACUACCCCCCUAAAAUCAUCCACACUUCCCUAUCUCCCUUUCUCUUAAGAGGAAGGGUAUCUAGCCAUCAGUGCUUUACUGUGUGGUGGGGUAAUCGCUCUGUGAUUUCCUCCAUCCAUGCUAAUAUAUUUGUAUGCCUUGUCUCCUACUAAUCUGCCUUUUAUUGGUUGAUUUUCAGCAAACUUUCAGAGGGCAAAGAGAAAGUUUUGUCUUUUCUCCUAUAAAGGUCCAUCAUCUGAUUCAGGCUGCUGACAAGCAUUUAUUGAGGAACUAUUCCAUGUGUACAAUGUUUCACUAAGCAUUUUGGAAGGAUGGAAUAAAACAAGGCACACUCUCUGAUCGUGCUGAGUUUUCCAUGAACAGAGUGCACCACACAUUCAUGUAGAGAAUAAUUUGAGAUCUGUCAGCAAAAUGAAAUUUAAGAGAUUUAGGAGAGAAAGAAAGGAGCUAAUAUUUAAUUAGCAUUUAAUUAGCAAAACAGUUUACUUUAUUUCAUUUUCUUUAUUCAACAGAUAUUAAUUAACGAAGAACAUAUUGCGUGCCAGGAAAUACUCUACAUGUUGGAGACAUAUCAAAAAGUCCAUAUAUUCUGGGAAUGCUUUACUAGCACUAUUGCAUUUUAUUAUACAAUCACCUUUGUUAGGAGCUGAAUUGUGUCUCCCUAACCCAUUAAUAUGCUGAAGUCCUAACCCCUACUACCUCAGAAUGUCACUAUACUUGAAAAUAGGAUUUUUGAGGGGGUGAUUAUGGUUAAAUGAGGUCAUAGGAACACCAAUCCAAUAUGACUGGUGUUGUUAUAAGGAGAGGAGAGAUGAGGCCACCGAACACGCAGAGGGAAGACCAUGUAAAGAAGACUCAGAGAGAAGACAGCUGUCUACCAGCUGGGAGGGAGGCCUCAGGAGGAACUAACCUGUGAACACUUUGGUCUUGGCCUUCUAUCUUUCAGAACUGUGAGAAAAUAAAUUUGUUGUUUACACCACCCACU
rnacentral:lncRNA from 10 species